GAUCCCGCUCCCUCGGAGCAGCUGCUCGGAAGCAGCAAAAGGAAGAAGGAGCAAAUGAUGCAGAGGAACAGACAACUUUAUCGCUCCAGCCCCAACGUGAACAACUUUGGCCUGGAGGAGAAGGAUGAACCUGCUGACCCAGUUGUGAGAGGAAACGUUGCUUCUGUUUCCAGUAUCAAUCUCUGCACCGAGACAUUUCACCAAGGAUAUCUGACACUUCCAACCACUAAAUCUCUGGACAAAAACAAAUCUGAAUCCAGUCAAACAUUCAAAGUGUCUCUGAGACCUUCAGAGAGGCCGAAUUCCUCUAAGAGGACA